UUGUAGUGUUUUCUCGUUUUGCUCGUAGUUUUCGAAUCGUAGCCCCGUUUUGAUCGUGUCCUACAUGAGACUUGCUUAGAAUCUUGUGUAGAUUCAUUUCCUCUUGCUGGUUGUUUGUGUUGAUGUGCUCGUAGCCGCCGUUGCACACAUUUUGCAUUCAUGCCAUCAUAUCUUGCGGUGCUUGUAUCUUUUGAACCGUAGCUCCGUUGGAGAUGUUCUUUACGUGUAGGUUGCUUGCCUUGACGCGUAGGAUCACAUGAACCUAUUUGUUUUGCUGUUUAACAACUAAUUAAGGUGUUAAUUC
rnacentral:lncRNA from 1 species